rnacentral:tRNA from 1 species
AGGAUAUUAAGGUUUAAAGAUAAAGCUUCUAACUUUCUUCUUAAGCAGUUAAAUUCUGUUUAUAUCCUA